rnacentral:rRNA from 1 species
UACGAAGGGGGCUAGCGUUGCUCGGAAUCACUGGGCGUAAAGCGCACGUAGGCGGACUCUUAAGUCGGUGGUGAAAUCCUGGAGCUCAACUCCAGAACUGCCUUCGAUACUGAGAGUCUCGAGUCCGGGAGAGGUGAGUGGACUGCGAGUGUAGAGGUGAAAUUCGUAGAUAUUCGCAAGAACACCAGUGGCGAAGGCGGCUCACUGGCCCGGUACUGACGCUGAGGUGCGAAAGCGUGGGGAGCAAACAGG